CACGUAGGGGGCGAGCGUUGUCCGGAUUCAUUGGGCGUAAAGCGCGCGCAGGCGGCUCGGAAAGUCGGGUGUGAAAACUCGGGGCUCAACCCCGGGCGUGCAUCCGAUACUGCCGGGCUUGAGGCAGGUAGGGGAGAUCGGAAUUCCUGGUGUGAGCGGUGAAAUGCGCAGAUAUCAGGAGGAACACCGGUGGCGAAGGCGGAUCUCUGGGCCUGUCCUGACGCUGAGGCGCGAAAAGCUAGGGGGAGCGAACAGG
rnacentral:rRNA from 1 species